rnacentral:rRNA from 1 species
UGCGGUAAUUCCAGCUCCAAGAGUAUAUAUUAAAGUUGUUGCGGUUGAAAAGCUCGUAGUUGGAUAUCUGUUGUACUAUUGCAGCCAACCCCCUGGGUUUGACUUGCAUUUCAGUGCAAUACAAAGUACUUCUGCUGUGCACUUUUCACUAAGUGUGCAGCAGUCUACGUUGUUACUUUGAGGAAAGUGAAGUGUUACACGCAGGUUGCGCCGUGAACAUGCUAGCAUGGCAUAACAUCAUAUGACUGUGAGUCUUUUUGAGCGGUUUCAGGAAACAUGGUAAUGAUCAACAGGAGGUGUUGGGGAUACUCAUAUUUGACAGCUAGAGGUGAAAUUCUUGGAUUUGUUAAAGAUGAACUAAUGCAAUAGCAUUUAUCAUGGAUGUUUCUGUUAAUCAAGAACGAAAGUUAGGGGAUCGAAGACGAUCAGAUACCGUCCUAGUCUUAACCAUAAACUAUGCCGACUGGACAUUGGAACAUGUGAAGUAAUGAUAUAUUCAGCAUUUUUGCCUGAAAAGAAUAAGUUUGUGGGCUCUGGGGGGAGUAUGGUUGCAAGACUGAAACUUAAAAGAAUUGACGGAAGGGCACCACCAGGAGUGGAGCCUGCGGCUUAAUUUGACUCAACACGGGAAAUCUCACCAGGUCCAGACAUAUUCAGGAUUGACAGAUUAAUUGUYCUUUCUCAAUCGUAUGGGUGGUGGUGCAUGGCCGUKCUUAGUUGGUGGAGUGAUUUGUCUGGUUAAUUCCGUUAACGAACGAGAUCCAAAUCUGCUAACUGUUACAACAUUCUUUGGAAUGAGAUUACACUUAGAGGGACAUUGCGUGUUUAAUGCACGGAAGAGUUGGGCAAUAACAGGUCUGYGAUGCCCUUAGAUGUCCUGGGCUGCACGCGCGCUACAAUGAUAUACGCCCCAAUGAAUGUAGACCUGGUAAGGAUAUUCAAUUAUGCAAAGAUGUCGUACCGGGAAUAGAUGAUUGUAAUUCUUUAUCUUGAACGAGGAAUUCCUAGUAAGAACACAUCAACAGUUUGUGCUGAUUACGUCCCUGCCCUUUGUACACACCGCCCGUCGCUCCUACCGAUUGAGUAAUCCGGUGAAUGACGAUGAUUGUGCAAUGCUACACAGCUUUGCGUGAAAAACAUCGUGAACCUCACUACUUAGAGGAAGGAGAAGUCGUAACAAGGUUUCCGUAGGUGAACCUGCGGAAGGAUCAUUUGUGGUUGAUCAAACAACGCUUUGCCAGUGCUGUACGGCCACCCGAACGGAGCAGCGUUUGUUUCAAGACAUACAAUGUACAUCAACGAAUUUCUAGAAUCAAUAUGCGAGGACGAACGUAGCCAAUUGCGAUAAUAUGCGUGAGAUGCUGGUGUUCGAGAAGCGAUAAAUUUUCUAUUGCGUGAAGCGCAAUCAUUCGAUUGCGCACACGAUGCAGGGCAAAGGGCACAGCACGAUCAAUGACUUUGGUGCACACUUUAGUUUUGGUCUGUGUGUUAGUGGAUUGGAACAAGAUGUCCAAUCCUGUUGAUCAACAUUUACAAUAACUAUUAAGCAAAUGCGCCGCCUGUCAUUGUAUGAGAAUACCCGCUGAACUUAAGCAUAU